rnacentral:piRNA from 1 species
UCAAGCACCCCGAACAUUACGACCUCGC